rnacentral:lncRNA from 1 species
GACAUUUUUCUCGUUUUAAGCAAACACUUAUUUAAUUUUGGUACUUUGUUCAGAAAACAAAAGACUAAUUUUGCUUCUAAAGUAAAUAUCUUGAUUUAAGUACAUCUUGAAAUUAAGACAAAAUACUCAGUGAGAAUAAUUUUUUCCCCAGUGCAUUAAGAAAGUAAGUCGUUAUGUUGACUUUAAACAAGAUGACAUCUAAGGCUUUUGGGGGGGGGGACCCAAUGUUUUAUUGCAUAUUAAAUUGAUAUCCAAUUCAAAUGACAAGGAAUGACAAGAUCCCCCAAAAAUAAUGAAAAGGGGUUGCCUUCACAACGUUAAAUUCAUUAAAAGUGCCUUCUGUAUGUCCUUUGGAGUAACUUUGCAGCCUGAUUCAAACCGGUUUGGUUAAGUCUAUCUGCUUGCCUCUAUAUGGGUGAGUUACGACUGAGAUUGGUGACCACUGAAAUACCUGCGGUGUUAUUGUCUCACAACCUUUUAAAAUGCAAAAACUGUAAACCUAAAUCCAGAUGUCUCGAAGCGGUUUGGAUGUUCCUUCACUCAUCUAGUUUAGACUCUUAAAUAUUUUUUUGCAAAGACCACCUCUGUCAAUGUGAGUUUCCGAUAGCAUUGUUUGUUUUUUUUAGUUCUGAUGUAAUUAUCGGGGCGUCUCGAGCCCCUGCAGAUGUACAGACUGUUAACGUUCUAGCUAUUUUAGUAGAUGAACAGACAUGAGAAACCGAUGGAUUGGAGAUUUCAUGUUUGGCCUCGUUUUUUAUUUCCAAUCGUACCUUUUUGGGGUAUUUUUGUUUGUGGAGAAUAAACUGUGUUUCGGUUUUGCUUCUGUAUUUGCCAAAUAUGAGUAAAAAAAUGCUGUAUUUUCUUACAUGGAUGAGGUGUUUGGGAAAAGGACGUCGGAGGACUUCUGUGUCUGGGAAUCAGCUGGAGGAGACACUGCAGUGAACAUGAACGCGUGUCAUUGUUGUGUGGAUUUGAUCUGCCAUUAAAACAUUCCCCCAGACCUCUGAGCCCUUCUGUCGUUUGCCCUCAUGAGCGA